rnacentral:rRNA from 1 species
UGAGGAAUAUUGGGCAAUGCCCGCAAGGGUGACCCAGCAACGCCGCGUGGAGGAUGAAUGUCGUAAGAUUGUAAACUCCUGUUAGAGGGGAAGAAUAGUACCGGUUGGACCGGUAUAUGACUGUACCCUCAGAGAAAGCCCCGGCUAACUACGUGCCAGCAGCCGCGGUAAUACGUAGGGGGCAAGCGUUGUCCGGAUUUACUGGGUGUAAAGGGCGCGCAGGCGGGAUAAAAAGUCAGUGGUGAAAUCCUACAGCUUAACUGUAGAACUGCCUUUGAUACUUUUAUUCUUGAGUUCGGGAGAGAGAGACGGAAUUCCAGGUGUAGUGGUGAAAUACGUAGAUAUCUGGAAGAACACCAGUUGCGAAGGCGGUCUCUUGAUCCGACACUGACGCUGAGGCGCGAAAGCGUGGGGACCAAACA